UACGUAGGUCGCAAGCGUUGUCCGGAUUUACUGGGCGUAGAGAGCGCGCAGGCGGCUGGUCAAGUCCGAUGUGAAAUCUCCCGGCUCAACUGGGAAACUGCAUCGGAAACUGAUCGGCUUGAAGAUGGGAGAGGGUAGUGGAAUUCCCGGUGUAGUGGUGAAAUGCGUAGAUAUCGGGAGGAACACCAGUGGCGAAGGCGACUACCUGGCCCAUUCUUGACGCUGAGGCGCGAAAGCUAGGGGAGCGAACGGG
rnacentral:rRNA from 1 species